AUGAGCUUCACAAUGUUUUAUUCCUGUGCAUGCUUCCUUUAAAUGAAACAUUUCUUUUUUACAUUCAAUUUUUUAUCAAUUGCAGAUAAGAACUCAUUACUUCUGGACAAGUGGACACAGAGUCAAUGGCAAAUGGUAUUGGGGUAAUAAUCAUGGAGCAGUUUCAAACAAGAUACUGCAGUAUAGUAGUCAACCACCAGGCACUCCUGAGCAAGGGGAUUGUUUAGCAAAAUAUUUAUAUCGAGAUAAUUUUAAUGUUGGAAAAAAUUGUAAUCUUAAAUACAACUAUGUCUGUAAGAUAAAAUUGCCAAGAAGGAAAGGCAAAUACGGAUAAUUCUAUGCUCAUAAGACUGCAGAGCAAAUAUGGGUAAUUCUUAAUAUUAGAAUACGCUAUGGGGUGUAAACUUUUGCUAUUAGAAUAUGCCUAAAUUGUCAUAAUAUGCUAUUAGAAAUGAAUGUACUUUUUAAUUGAAAGUGUGUUCUUUCUCCAUAUUCUUAAAAUAGAUACAAAUAUUCAGAAAUAAAGAUAGAUUGAUCUUAACUGAUUUAUAAGUUAUGAAAACCUUGUAUUAAAAAAUGUUGACACAUAG
rnacentral:lncRNA from 1 species